rnacentral:rRNA from 1 species
AAUCAACGCUGGCGGCGUGCCUCAGACAUGCAAGUCGAACGAAUUAAAGCUCCCUUCGGAGAGUGCAUAGAGUGGCGCACGGGUGAGUAACACGUAAGUAAUCUACCUUCGAGUGGGGAAUAACGUCCGGAAACGGACGCUAAUACCGCAUAAUGCAGCGGCAUCGCAAGAUGACAGUUGUUAAAGAAUUUAUUCGCUUGAAGAGGAGCUUGCGGCAGAUAGCUUGUUGGUAAGGUAACGGCUUACCAAGGCUACGAUCUGUAACCGGUCUAAGAGGACGGUCGGUCACACUGACACUGAAUAACGGGUCAGACUCCUACGGGAGGCAGCAGUCGGG